AUUGAACGCUGGCGGCGGGCCUAACACAUGCAAGUCGAGCGGAGCGGCGGACGGGUGAGUAAUGCCUAGGAAUCUGCCUGGUAGUGGGGGAUACCGUCCGGAAACGGGCGCUAAUACCGCAUACUAUCAGAUGAGCCUCGGUCGGAUUUGCUGGUUGGUGGGGUAAAGGCCUACCAAGGCGACGAUCCGUAACUGGUCUGAGAGGAUGAUCAGUGACACUGGAACUGAGACAAGGUCAAGACGCGUACGUGAGGCAGCAGUGGGGAAGAUUGGACAAUGGGCGAAAGCCUGAUCCAGCCAUGCCGGGUGUGGGAAGAAGGUAUUAGGAUUGUAAAGCAUUUUAAGUUUUGAGGCGUUACCAACAGAAUAAGCACCGGCUAACUUCGUGCCAGCAGCCGCGGUAAUAC
rnacentral:rRNA from 1 species